rnacentral:rRNA from 1 species
CUCCUGACUGACCGAUAGUGAACCAGUACCGUGAGGGAAAGGCGAAAAGAACCCCUGUGAGGGGAGUGAAAUAGAACCUGAAACCGUAUACGUACAAGCAGUGGAAGCGGUACUUGAGACCGUGACUGCGUACCUUUUGUAUAAUGGGUCAGCGACUUACAUUUAGUAGCGAGGUUAAGCGAAUAGCGGAGCCGUAGGGAAACCGAGUGUUAACUGCGCGU